AAUAUUAUUGCUGGGUCAUUUGGUGAGAUUUAAUUUAGUUUUAUAGGAAAUUGUCAAAUUGUCUUCCAAAGUGGCUGUACCAUUUUGCAUUCCCACCAGCAAU
rnacentral:pre_miRNA from 1 species